UCGGCAACUUGAGCGCCAGCAGACAUCCAUCCAUGCUUUUGGAGGCUGGCUCUGGAAUGCAUCCAGUCUACCAAUCAGCAUUGACCCACUGCAGUUCACCUACCGCUGCAACAGGUCCAUGGCUGAUGCCAUCUCCCUGAUGCUACACUCAUCCCUGGAACACCUGGAUAAGAGAGACACCUACGUCAGACUUCUAUUCAUAGACUACAGCUCUUUAAUACCAUUAUCCUAUCCAAGCUCAACACCAAACAUGAUGUGAUAGAUAGAUCAAAUAAUUUAUUAUCAAGAAGCAACCUUGUAAAGUAGAAGUUUAACAGAUAGCCCACACACAAUUUUAAGCAAGAAACUGUUUGUGGGGGACUCUGGGGGAGAGUUAAUGGUGUCGAAACUGGCCUUAUUGCCCGGGAUGGUCAAAUAAACAAGUCUAAAUCAGUCAUACGCCAGAGAUUAAAAAGGAAGAAAACUGGGAGGCUGCUGGAAUUUUGGCUGAUGUGAUUGUGUUUUUAAUCAAUCUGUUCCCUUUUUCCCUUUUGCUCCAUCUGAUGUAUUCGUAUUUGGUAUGAUUUAUCUGGAUAGUAUGUGAACAACAUUUUUCACUCUAUCUUGGUACACACUAAUAAUAAACAAAUACCAAUACAGAACAAUUAGAAACUGCAACUCACCAAUAAGUCACAUUUGUAGAAUGUUAC